AGCUUACAGGGGUAAAAUCUAUGGUGUCACCCUUAAAAAGGGGUUCACCCAUGCCCUCAUUGAAAAAACUUUCAUAAAAAGGAGGACACUGAAUACCUAUUUAAUUUCCACCAUUGAUAUAAUAUUUAUAAAAUUGAAUGGUUGAGAUUGAAUCAACAAAUUGACCAAAAUACCCAACUUCUUCACUUCAAAAAAAAAAAAAAAAAACUCUUCUUCUUUCUUUCUCCCAAUCUUGACAACCACCUUCUUCCAAUGUCUGACCUCCUCCGCCCACGAUGCCACAACAAUGUUGACUACUUCCGCCUCCCACAGCCAACACCCCACCCCCACACCCACACCCCUUUCAUGGAGUUCGAAAAUCUAACCCAAAACUCGCUCAUCAAACGCCUCCUAUGUUGCUGCGGCGUCGUGUUCGACGUGAGGCUCCACUUAGACGACAUUUGCCACCGGUCGAAGAUCCGCGACGGCCGUUACAGCGUCUCUCAAGGGUUCCUCACCGAGUGUUACAUGCACGGGGCAAUCGUGUUCUGAUCCGCAGUGAAAUCGUCGUUGUGCAGCAUGCACAGAGCAUGAGUUCGUUCCUUCCUCUUCCUCAACCAUUAUUCCAGAUCUGUGCUUCAUUUUUGGUUCACAGAAUUUUCCACCUCUGUUCAUCCUCUUUCUUUCGCUUAGACAUCCAGAUCUGUUUUCUUGAUGAGUGGGUUUUGCUUUGUUUCACUUUUCAAUGUUGUACCAUGUACUUGUGGAUUAUAUUCAACGACUGUGGGUUCAUAAUCAACAAAAAUACAACCCAGAUUUGUUUUCUUUGUCAUCUACUUGUAUGGUUCAUGUUCAACGACUGUGAGUUAUAUUUUUGUUGAUUUUAUUUUGUAUUUGUGGCUUUGGGCUUUGGUUCCAAUACUCUAUGGCGUGGCUAGCCAAGGAUUUGAAGAAGAAACUACAGAUCCUUAUUUUACUGCUAAAAGAAGAAACUCAAAUCCUUAUUUUACUCAUAGAAGAAGAAACUACAGGGGAAGAAGACAAAAAAUUUAGCAGGCACUUACUGUAGGUUGUAAACCGCCAGAAUAUUUAAGGGACAAAUUUGUAAUCUAACAUAAAAAUUUUGGGGGACACCGGUGCAUCCCCUAAAAUGGGAUACACUGUAGUCUUCACCGCUUACAGGUCCACAUUGAAUUAAAUAAAAGGAGUAAAGGGAGAGUGAUCCCAUUUUUGGUCUCCUCAUCUUCUGCCCAAACAAAAACCCUAGCCACCACACCUAGCCUUUCCUCUUCUCCUCCUCCUCCUUCCCUUACGACCACGAAACCACCGACCAUGCCUCCGACAGCUUUUGUUGGACGUGCGACCCACACUACUGCCCCAGUCCCACCCAAUUUGGUUUUUUUGUCAAACUUGUGCACAGGACAAACAACCACCGCCGCGGGACUUCUGGCGAGGCUCGUGAAGUUGAUAAUUGUAUACUAAAGUAGUGGUGUUACCAUAUUCUCACCUCCAUGUCAUUGAUUUGUGGAGGGAAAAACUGCAAGGUGAAUAGGUCUUUCUUCAAGGUAAUGUGUAACUGAAAAAAUUUCAAUAUGAAUAGGUGGAAGGCAAGCUCGUGGAGUCUUCAAGGCAAUGUGUAACUGAAAAUGAAUUGGUGGAAAGCAAGCUCGUGGGGUUUUCAAGGAAAUGUGAAACUGAAAAUUUGAUAUUAAUUUUUCGUUUAACACAUUGUUCAUUUAUAGUUUAUCUCUCAGCUUCCUUUUUAGUCAGUAUCCAGUUUAUGCCUUCUAACACAUGUAGGCAAACACAUUUUGCCCAUCCAUAGAAACUGCCCGGUCAAUCAAUAAUUAUAUUAUUUAAUAUAUUUAA